GAUAAGUCGUAACAAGGUAACCGACUCUAGAGUUUGAUCCUGGCUCAGGAUAAGUCGUAACAAGGUAACCAAGUCGUAACAAGGUAACCAGAGUUUGAUCCUGGCUCAGUCGUAACAAGGUAGCCAGGUAGAGUUUGAUCCUGGCUCAGACUCAAGUCGUAACAAGGUAGCCAAGGGCGAAUUCUGCAGAUAUCCAUCACACUGGCGGCCGCUCGAGCAUGCAUCUAGAGGGCCCAAUUCGCCCUAUAGUGAGUCGUAUUACAAUUCACUGGCCGUCGUUUUACAACGUCGUGACUGGGAAAACCCUGGCGUUACCCAACUUAAUCGCCUUGCAGCACAUCCCCCUUUCGCCAGCUGGCGUAAUAGCGAAGAGGCCCGCACCGAU
rnacentral:rRNA from 1 species